GAUAUUGAUUACUUGCUAAACAUUGAUGCGCAUCAAGCUGUAACUGCGCUAUACUCUCCCUAGAAGACCGACCUUUGCGAAAACCAAACUGAUUAUUAGGCAAAAGACAAUUUUGUUCUAUAAAGAACUCGAGACGUUGUUUUAGAAGCUGCUCAAAUAUCUUCCCAACACAAGACGUGAGAGCUAUAGGUCUAUAAGAGUCAGGUAACAUUUUAUUUUUGUCUGGCUUUAAAACUGGGAUUAAACAGUCUGUUUUCCAUUCUGCAGGAAUAGUAUUCUCCUUCCAUAGGCGAUUAAGAUUAUUUAAAAAGAUGUUGAGACUGUGGCAAUUAAGUUUUUUGAGUAAAAUAUAUGGAAUGGUAUCAAGACCGAAAGAUGUAUCUCUUCUAGUAAAUAAAGCGGAUUUUAGUUCUUGUAAAGAAAAAGGCUCUAUCAAAUAUUUAUUACUAUCAUUAACAACAUUUACAUAGUUAGUUAACUCAUUUGAUACAAAGUCAGAAGUAUACUUUUGUAGAAAAUCUGGAAUCCAACUAUCAUUCAACACACUGUCAGGAAUCAUUUAAAACUGCUUCUGUAUACCUCUGAUUCCACCAAGGCGACCAAGGAUAUUUAAAAGAUUUUUGUGAACAAGAACUAGUAGCAUUAUUACUAUUAGAACUUUUGGAAAACAGACAGCUAGGGAUUGACUGCUUGGCAGCAGAAAGUAAAAUAUUACAAAAGGAAUUAAAAGCAUCUAUUGAAGAUAAAGUGUCAAAUUUAACAUCAUCCAAAUAAGAAACAACUAAGUUACUAUACAUAUUCCAAUUCACCUGCUUAUAAUUAGGGUGAGUGGGCAAAUGUAGAUUAUUACAUAAUGUGUUUUGCAAACUAAUACUAUCACUACUUACUGCCAUUUUUAUUAUUACAGGGAGAUGAUAACUACUGCCCAGAGGACUGUCAAUAACUGACCAGUCACAUAAAAGAGCCAAAGAUGGAGUUACCAAAGUCAAGUCAAGAGCAUUAGGACGCCAAGAUGGAGAUCCUAUUGUGGUAGCUUGACCAUUAUUCAGAAUAACAAGACCAUUCUCAUCUAUAACCUCUAAAACAUCUUUACCUCGAGGCAAUGUAUCAACACAUCCCCACAACAUGUGAUGAGCAUUGAAAUCACCUGCAAAUAUCAUUGGCUCUGGAAUGGACUUAAUUAAACUGUUUAAAUUGUUUUUAUUAAAUGGAGGAUUUGAAUUGGAAGGACUGUAAAAACUCACAAUACUCAGUUCUUUGUUAUUAAUUUUAAUUUUAAUGCAAACAUUUUGUAGAGCACUAUCAUAAUAUGUAUUUAUGUUAGAAAAUGUGAUAUUAUUAUGAAUAAAAAUUGCUACACCA